AGAUUGAACGCUGGCGGCAGGCCUAACACAUGCAAGUCGAACGGUAGCACAGAGAGCUUGCUCUUGGGUGACGAGUGGCGGACGGGUGAGUAAUGUCUGGGAAACUGCCCGAUGGAGGGGGAUAACUACUGGAAACGGUAGCUAAUACCGCAUAACGUCGCAAGACCAAAGUGGGGGACCUUCGGGCCUCACACCAUCGGAUGUGCCCAGAUGGGAUUAGCUAGUAGGUGGGGUAAUGGCUCACCUAGGCGACGAUCCCUAGCUGGUCUGAGAGGAUGACCAGCCACACUGGAACUGAGACACGGUCCAGACUCCUACGGGAGGCAGCAGGUGGGGAAUUUUGGACAAUGGGCGCAAGCCUGAUCCAGCAAUGCCGCGUGCAGGAAGAAGGCCUUCGGGUUGUAAACUGUCUUUUGUACGGAACGAAAAGGCUCUGGUUAAUACCUGGGGCUCAUGACGGUACCGUAAGAAUAAGCACCGGCUAACUACGUG
rnacentral:rRNA from 1 species